UACAGAGACUGCAAGCGUUAUUCGGAUUCACUGGGCGUAAAGGGUGCGCAGGCGGCCAAGUGUGUUAGGCGUGAAAGCCCGGGGCUUAACCCCGGAAUUGCACCUAAAACUACAUGGCUAGAGCAUUGGAGAGGGUAGCGGAAUUCACGGUGUAGCAGUGAAAUGCGUAGAUAUCGUGAGGAACACCAGAGGCGAAGGCGGCUACCUGGACAAUUGCUGACGCUCAGGCACGAAAGCGUGGGGAGCAAACGGG
rnacentral:rRNA from 1 species